rnacentral:misc_RNA from 1 species
AAGGAUCAUUAACGAAUUACAGGGAGUUGAUGCUGGUAGUUUUUGACUGCAUGUGCUCGCUCUCCUAGUCCAAUUUACACUUGUGCACUUAGAUUUGAAGGCAGGAUUAAGCCUGCUUUCGAAAUUCAUAAACUCUCAUUUAAAAUUAUUGAAUGUUUAUCUGCCGUAUGGCGAAAUGAAAUACAACUUUUAACAACGGAUCUCUUGGCUCUC